CUUCUUUUCUUUUUUUUUUCUUCCUCCAGAGAACACCCCCUCACUAUUUGAAAUUCAGAUGUCGCUGCUGUGGAUAAGCAGACAUCCUUCUUUCUAUUGUAAGUAGGCUGUGUGUUGUACUUCUAGAGCCUUUGUUGUGUAACAGUCACCUUCCCUCUGUGACUGCAGAGGAGUCACUUCACUCAGGCACCUUUUACCAAAGAGCAUUGUGCAUACAGAUCACAUCCGAGUCAAAUGCAGAAUAGAAGCUUUCAUUUUACAAGGCUAAACCAUACGAAAGAUCACUAGGAUUAAUGAGGUACUCGGUUCACCACCUCAUUAAGGCACCUGAAGAACAUCUGCUGUCCAAGAAAGCACAACAUUAAGAAAACAACAUGUAAAUGAACAGCUUCUCUACCAGGAAAUUCAGUCAUCUGGGUAUGGUACUCCAACAAGAUAUCCGGAUGGCACUGCCUUCCUAAGAAGGAUGUCAGUUGCAAAGGCAGAGAAGGAACUGGACAGAACAUCAAAUGAUUUAUGCAGAGCAGAUUUAUGGGAAUCCUGUCAGGGAACCCAGUAAGACAAACUUCAGGAUUGCCUCUGCCCCCUGCUGCCACUGAUUCUGUGCUGCUGGACCAUAGAGAUAAAGAGGAGCCAAAAGAGUCUUCACUGGAAAGAAGACAGCAACAAGGG